UACAGAGGUGCCGAGCGUUAGGCGGAAUCACUGGGCUUAAAGCGUGUGUAGGCGGACCGUUAAGUACCUUGUGAAAUCCUGCGGCUCAACCGCAGAACGGCUGGGUAUACUGGCGGUCUUGGGCCACCUAGGGGCAGAUGGAACAGACGGUGGAGCGGUGAAAUGCGUAGAUAUCGUCUGGAACGCCGAUGGUGAAAACAGUCUGCUGGGGGUGUGCCGACGCUGAGACACGAAAGCCAGGGGAGCAAACGGG
rnacentral:rRNA from 1 species